rnacentral:lncRNA from 1 species
AGCGCCGUCCCUGUCUCACAGGGUAUGCCUCUGAAGUGCUUCCAGCUGCACCUCUGAAGUGUCCUGCUGGGAACCUGCAGCCCAUCCCCGGGCAGCACGGCAGGCAGCAGCCGCUGCUGCUUCGGGAGCUCAGUGAUCUUCUCUCUUCUAUUCAAGAGAUAAGCUUCUGCCAACAGAGAGAGAAAAUAGCAGAGGCAGAUGAGUUUCUUCCUACACAUAGCUUUGAAGAAUGAACUCAGUUUCAUGUUGUACAUCUAUCAAAAGGUCCUUUGCUGCCCAUUGAACACAGCCCAGACCUUUGAGAAUAUUCCGUUUCCCAAGAUGAAGAAAAAUAAUCGUUCCAAUGUGUAUUUGAGAUUCUGCUGUCAGAGGCUUUUCUGCUUUCACUCAGGCUCAGUCCUGAGAUGGCUGUUAACUUCAGUAAAGGUAAGAUAUACUUGUUGCCUUGUUGUGUUUUCCGCACAAGAACAACCUGGAUGUGUCCUUAGAUUU